rnacentral:pre_miRNA from 1 species
ACAUUUUGGGCUUUAUCCAAAACUCAUUGAAGUCAAUGGGAAUUUUCCCACUGACUUCAAUGGGCUCUGGAUCAGGCCCUCAGAGA